rnacentral:rRNA from 1 species
UGGGGAAUAUUGGACAAUGGGCGCAAGCCUGAUCCAGCAAUGCCGCGUGAGUGAUGAAGGCCUUCGGGUUGUAAAGCUCUUUCGCACGCGACGAUGAUGACGGUAGCGUGAGAAGAAGCCCCGGCUAACUUCGUGCCAGCAGCCGCGGUAAUACGAAGGGGGCUAGCGUUGUUCGGAAUUACUGGGCGUAAAGGGCGCGUAGGCGGUGCUUCAAGUCAGGCGUGAAAGCCCCGGGCUCAACCUGGGAACCGCGCUUGAGACUGGAGGACUAGAGUUCGGGAGAGGAUGGUGGAAUUCCCAGUGUAGAGGUGAAAUUCGUAGAUAUUGGGAAGAACACCGAUGGCGAAGGCAGCCAUCUGGACCGACACUGACGCUGAGGCGCGAAAGCGUGGGGAGCAAAC